rnacentral:rRNA from 1 species
GAGUUUGAUCUUGGCUCAGGAUGAACGCUGGCGGCGUGCCUAACACAUGCAAGUCGAGCGAGAAGCUGAUGAUUGACACUUCGGUUGAGAGAAUCAGUGGAAAGCGGCGGACGGGUGAGUAACGCGUAGGCAACCUGCCCUUUGCAGAGGGAUAGCCUCGGGAAACCGGGAUUAAAACCUCAUGAUGCUGUAUGUCCGCAUGGGCAGACGGUCAAAGAUUUAUCGGCAGAGGAUGGGGCCUGCGUCUGAUUAGUUAGUUGGUGGGGUAACGGCCUACCAAGGCAACGAUCAGUAGCCGACCUGAGAGGGUGAUCGGCCACAUUGGAACUGAGACACGGUCCAAACUCCUACGGGAGGCAGCAGUGGGGAAUAUUGCACAAUGGGCGAAACCCUGAUGCAGCAACGCCGCGUGAGCGAUGAAGGCCUUCGGGUCGU